AACCGUCGACAGUCAGGCAACGAGCGAGACCCACGCCCACAGUUGCCAGCGUACUCUCCGGAGUGACGGGUACACUGUGGGGACCGCCGCUGCUAAAGCGGAGGAAGGAAUGGGCAACGGUAGGUCAGUAUGCCCCGAAUAUCCCGGGCUACACGCGAGCUACAAUGGUUGGUACAAUGGGUAUCUACCCCGAAAGGGGACGGGAAUCUCCUAAAACCAAUCUUAGUUCGGAUUGAGGGCUGCAACUCGCCCUCAUGAAGCUGGAAUCCGUAGUAAUCGCGUUUCAACAGAACGCGGUGAAUACGUCCCUGCUCCUUGCACGAAUUCGCCG
rnacentral:rRNA from 1 species